rnacentral:lncRNA from 1 species
UACUUUUUAAGAGUUUGUGAGUGCAUAGUAUUAAUUCUUUAAAUUUCUUGAAUCAUUCACUAGUGGAAUCACCCUGCCCUGAGCCUAAAGCUCACAACAAGCACCUCCUCCUGGAUGGGGAUCCUUCCCAGCUGAGCUCUCAGGCAGACCACAGCCUUAGUCAUGAUUGAUCAUUUCUGAUUUCUGGCCAGAGAAACUCCCCCCCCAAGCAAGAUCCUGCCCAACAGAGAGAGAAAAACCCUAACCGAUGCAUUGCCUACAAGAACAGUGAUGACAGGAAGCCCGCUACAACCUCGCUCAUUCACACCUGCAAGGAGGCCGAUUCUCCAAAAACCAACGGCACCCAUUCUACCCUGCUGAACCUGCCAUUGCCCUGCUUGCUGCUAGUCCAGGUCUCCUCAUCAGGUCAGGUGAGUGACACUUUUACUCAACCUUUUCACCCACUCCCUCUCCGAACCUCUCCUGUCCA